ACUCCAUCUCAAUAUGUCUCAAGAUGGCGGCCAAUGUGGGAUCGAUGUUUCAAUAUUGGAAGCGCUUUGAUUUACAGCAGCUGCAGAGAGAACUUGAUGCCACCGCAACAGUAUUGGCAAACAGGCAAGAUGAGAGCGAACAGUCCAGAAAGCGGCUCAUUGAGCAGAGCCGAGAAUUCAAGAAGAACACUCCAGAGGAUUUACGCAAGCAGGUAGCACCACUGCUCAAGAGCUUCCAAGGGGAGAUUGAUGCACUGAGUAAAAGGAGCAAAGAAGCAGAAGCAGCCUUCUUGACUGUGUACAAGAGACUAAUUGAUGUUCCAGAUCCCGUACCAGCCCUGGACCUCGGGCAACAGCUGGAAAUAAAAGUGCAGCGUCUACACGACAUUGAAACAGAGAACCAGAAACUUAGGGAAACACUAGAAGAGUACAACAAGGAGUUUGCUGAAGUGAAAAACCAAGAGGUUACGGUAAAAGCACUUAAGGAGAAAAUCCGAGAAUACGAGCAGACCCUGAAGAGUCAGGCCGAGACCAUCGCUCUGGAGAAGGAGCAGAAGCUACAAAAUGAUUUUGCAGAGAAGGAGAGAAAGCUGCAAGAGACACAGAUGUCCACCACCUCAAAGCUGGAGGAAGCUGAGCACAAACUCCAGACUCUGCAAACAGCCCUGGAAAAAACUCGAACAGAAUUAUUUGACCUGAAAACCAAAUACGAUGAAGAAACCACUGCAAAGGCCGACGAGAUCGAGAUGAUCAUGACUGACCUUGAACGAGCCAACCAGAGGGCAGAGGUGGCACAGAGAGAGGCAGAGACUUUAGGGGAACAGCUUUCAUCGGCCAACCACUCUCUCCAACUGGCCUCGCAGAUCCAGAAGGCUCCAGAUGUGGCCAUAGAGGUGCUGACCCGAUCCAGCCUGGAAGUAGAGUUGGCUGCCAAAGAGCGGGAGAUUGCCCAGCUGGUGGAAGAUGUGCAGCGACUCCAGGCCAGCCUCACCAAGCUGCGUGAGAAUUCCGCCAGCCAGAUCUCACAGCUGGAGCAGCAGCUGAACGCCAAGAAUAGCACACUCAAACAACUGGAAGAAAAACUCAAAGGCCAGGCUGACUAUGAAGAUGUGAAGAAAGAGUUGACCACUCUGAAGUCCAUGGAGUUUGCACCAUCGGAGGGAGCAGGGACACAGGACUCAACCAAGCCCCUGGAGGUUUUACUCCUGGAGAAGAACCGCUCGCUGCAGUCCGAGAAUGCCACGCUGCGCAUCUCCAACAGUGACCUGAGCGGGCGCUGUGCGGAGCUGCAGAUCCAUCUCACUGAGGCCACAGCCAAGGCCGUUGAGCAGAAGGAGCUGAUCGCUCGCUUGGAGCAGGACCUCAGCACCAUCCAGUCCAUCCAACGCCCUGAUGCUGAGGGAGCUUCCGAGCAAGGCCUAGAGAAGAUUCCAGAGCCCAUCAAGGAGGCCACAGCUCUGUUUUAUGGACCCUCAGUGUCAUCCAGUGGGACCCUCCCAGAAGGUCAGGUGGACUCCCUACUUUCCAUCAUCUCCAGCCAAAGGGAACGUUUCCGCACCCGGAACCAAGAGCUGGAGGCUGAGAGCCGUAUGGCCCAGCACACCAUCCAGGCCCUGCAGAGCGAGCUGGACAGCCUGCGUGCCGACAACAUCAAGCUUUUUGAGAAGAUCAAGUUCUUGCAGAGUUACCCUGGCCGGGGUAUCGGCAGUGACGACACGGAGCUGCGGUACUCCUCCCAGUACGAGGAACGCCUGGACCCUUUCUCCUCCUUCAGCAAGAGGGAGCGGCAGAGAAAAUACCUGGGCCUGAGCCCCUGGGACAAGGCCACACUUGGCAUGGGGCAUCUGAUUCUCUCCAACAAAAUGGCCCGCACCAUUGGCUUCUUCUACACCUUGUUCCUGCACUGUCUGGUCUUUCUGGUACUGUACAAGCUGGCAUGGAGUGAGAGCGUGGAGAGAGACUGUGCUGCCACCUGCGCCAAGAAGUUCGCCGAUCAUCUGCACAAAUUCCAUGAGAGUGACAAUGGAGCAGCAGCUGGCGACUUAUGGCAGUGACCCCCAGGCUCACCGGAGAUGUAUUGGCUGCUACCCCGUCCCUUGCUUGAUCAGCUGCUUCUAAUGACAUAGCCUUCCCCUUCCCCCCCACAAAAAAAUCCCCCACGGAUUUGUCUCUGUCCUCAUCCAACAGCUGCCGGAAGCCCAGAGCCUCUAGAACCCCUUUCAAAGGUUGUCACAACCCCAUUGGAGCCCCAAGGUUCAAACAACCCCUAGCAACCAGCUAGGGUGGACUCCCUGAGUCUCUGCCCUCGGUCUAGUCACCUGACCUGGGCUCCACCCACAUCAGAACCUCUAGCCCUGGUGGCAGAGCUUUCUGACUGUGAUACAUAUUGUCAGCACCCACUCCGGCAUUCCUAUAGGCUCUCGUAGGACCCUGCCACAUAAUAAAAUAGGUGGGAGUCUUCUGGGCCCCAGCUUCUCAUCCGCCCUCUUCCCCGGCAGGGCGGGAGGUGGCUUUGAUACAACCCUAACCACAGUCUCCAAGUCAGGGAGCCCCAGAGGGCGGGAUGGUUUCCACUACCCCUUCCCUGCACCCAGUCCAUGAUUUGAGUUCUGCUUGCUUCUUUGGCAAAAUAUUUUGGUUUCUAGAAGAGGAAGUCUCUCCAAUGAGGCCCCUGUGCCUCAGGCACCACAGACAUGGUCCCAGAGGCCCCAGCAAAACUUGUCCUGGGCCAUGAUAGCAAGGCCAACUCUCAGGACCUCAGAUCUUCCUCCGCUGGAUUUGAUCUUUUUCUUCAGCUUCGCAUGAAAUAAAGAAUCAUUGCAGCCACAAAAAAAAAAAAAAAAAAAGAA